rnacentral:rRNA from 1 species
CUACGUGCCAGCAGCCGCGGUAAUACGUAGGUGGCAAGCGUUGUCCGGAAUUAUUGGGCGUAAAGCGCGCGCAGGCGGAUAGGUCAGUCUGUCUUAAAAGUUCGGGGCUUAACCCCGUGAUGGGAUGGAAACUGCCAAUCUAGAGUAUCGGAGAGGAAAGUGGAAUUCCUAGUGUAGCGGUGAAAUGCGUAGAUAUUAGGAAGAACACCAGUGGCGAAGGCGACUUUCUGGACGAAAACUGACGCUGAGGCGCGAAAGCCAGGGGAGCGAACGGGAUUAGAUACCCCGGUAGUCCUGGCCGUAAACGAUGGGUACUAGGUGUAGGAGGUAUCGACCCCUUCUGUGCCGGAGUUAACGCAAUAAGUACCCCGCCUGGGGAGUACGACCGCAAGGUUGAAACUCAAAGGAAUUGACGGGGGCCCGCACAAGCGGUGGAGUAUGUGGUUUAAUUCGACGCAACGCGAAGAACCUUACCAGGUCUUGACAUCCCUCUGACCGCUCUAGAGAUAGAGCUUUC